AACGAACGCUGGCGGCAGGCUUAACACAUGCAAGUCGAGCGCCCCGCAAGGGGAGCGGCAGACGGGUGAGUAACGCGUGGGAACGUACCCUUUGCUACGGAAUAGCUCCGGGAAACUGGAAUUAAUACCGUAUGUGCCCGACGGGGGAAAGAUUUAUAGGCAAAGGAACGGCCCGCGUUGGAUUAGCUAGUUGGUGGGGUAAUGGCCUACCAAGGCGACGAUCCAUAGCUGGUCUGAGAGGAUGAUCAGCCACAUUGGGACUGAGACACGGCCCAAACUCCUACGGGAGGCAGCAGUGGGGAAUAUUGGACAAUGGGCGCAAGCCUGAUCCAGCCAUGCCGCGUGAGUGAUGAAGGCCUUAGGGUUGUAAAGCUCUUUCACCGGAGAAGAUAAUGACGGUAUCCGGAGAAGAAGCCCCGGCUAACUUCGUGCCAGCCGCCGCCGUAAGAC
rnacentral:rRNA from 1 species